GAAAUGCGAUAAGUAGUGUGAAUUGCAGAAUUCAGUGAAUCAUCGAAUCUUUGAACGCACAUUGCGCCCCUUGGUAUUCCAUGGGGCAUGCCUGUUCGAGCGUCAUUUGUACCCCCAAGCUCUGCUUGGUGUUGGGUGUUUGUCCCCGUCUCCGCGCGUGGACUCGCCCCAAAGUGAUUGGCAGCCGGCGUACUGGUCCCGGAGCGCAGCACAUGUCGCGCAAACGAGUGCCUUGGUACGGCGGCGUCCAUAAGCCCCUCUCUCACGCUCUUGACCUCGGAUCAGGUAGGGAUACCCGCUGAACUUAAGC
rnacentral:misc_RNA from 1 species